rnacentral:rRNA from 1 species
GUGGGGAAUAUUGGACAAUGGGCGCAAGCCUGAUCCAGCCAUGCCGCGUGUGUGAAGAAGGCCUUUUGGUUGUAAAGCACUUUAAGCGAGGAGGAGGCUACUUGGAUUAAUACUCUAGGAUAGUGGACGUUACUCGCAGAAUAAGCACCGGCUAACUCUGUGCCAGCAGCCGCGGUAAUACAGAGGGUGCGAGCGUUAAUCGGAUUUACUGGGCGUAAAGCGUGCGUAGGCGGCUUUUUAAGUCGGAUGUGAAAUCCCUGAGCUUAACUUAGGAAUUGCAUUCGAUACUGGGAAGCUAGAGUAUGGGAGAGGAUGGUAGAAUUCCAGGUGUAGCGGUGAAAUGCGUAGAGAUCUGGAGGAAUACCGAUGGCGAAGGCAGCCAUCUGGCCUAAUACUGACGCUGAGGUACGAAAGCAUGGGGAGCAAACAGGAUUAGAUACCCGUGUAGUCC